rnacentral:rRNA from 1 species
GUCUAUGGCCAUGCCACCCUGAACACACCCAAUCUCGUCUGAUCUCGGAAGCUAAGCAGGGUCAGGCCUGGUUAGCACUUGGAUGGGAGACCACCUAGGAAGACGGGGUGCUAUAGGCA